GAACGAACGCUGGCGGCAGGCCUAACACAUGCAAGUCGAGCGAGGACUUCGGUCCUAGCGGCGGACGGGUGAGUAACGCGUGGGAACGUGCCCUUUGCUUCGGAAUAGCCCUGGGAAACUGGGAGUAAUACCGGAUGAGCCCUUUGGGGGAAAGAUUUAUCGGCGAAGGAUCGGCCCGCGUUGGAUUAGGUAGUUGGUGGGGUAAUGGCCUACCAAGCCGACGAUCCAUAGCUGGUUUGAGAGGAUGAUCAGCCACACUGGGACUGAGACACGGCCCAGACUCCUACGGGAGGCAGCAGUGGGGAAUCUUAGACAAUGGGGGAAACCCUGAUCUAGCCAUGCCGCGUGAGCGAUGAAGGCCUUAGGGUUGUAAAGCUCUUUCAGCUGGGAAGAUAAUGACGGUACCAGCAGAAGAAGCCCCGGCUAACUCCGUG
rnacentral:rRNA from 1 species